rnacentral:rRNA from 1 species
UACGUAGGUGGCAAGCGUUGUCCGGAAUUAUUGGGCGUAAAGCGCGCGCAGGCGGUCCUUUAAGUCUGAUGUGAAAGCCCCCGGCUCAACCGGGGAGGGUCAUUGGAAACUGGAGGACUUGAGUACAGGAGAGAAGAGUGGAAUUCCACGUGUAGCGGUGAAAUGCGUAGAGAUGUGGAGGAACACCAGUGGCGAAGGCGACUCUUUGGCCUGAAACUGACGCUGAGGCGCGAAAGCGUGGGGAGCAAACGGG